rnacentral:rRNA from 1 species
GAUCAUGGCUCAGAACGAACGCUGGCGGCAUGCCUAACACAUGCAAGUCGAACGAGACCUUCGGGUCUAGUGGCGCACGGGUGCGUAACGCGUGGGAAUCUGCCCUUGGGUUCGGAAUAACAGUGAGAAAUUACUACUAAUACCGGAUGAUGACGUAAGUCCAAAGAUUUAUCGCCCAAGGAUGAGCCCGCGUAAGAUUAGCUAGUUGGUGGGGUAAAGGCCUACCAAGGCGACGAUCUUUAGCUGGUCUGAGAGGAUGAUCAGCCACACUGGGACUGAGACACGGCCCAGACUCCUACGGGAGGCAGCAGUGGGGAAUAUUGGACAAUGGGCGAAAGCCUGAUCCAGCAAUGCCGCGUGAGUGAUGAAGGCCUUAGGGUUGUAAAGCUCUUUUACCAGGGAUGAUAAUGACAGUACCUGGAGAAUAAGCUCCGGCUAGCUCCGUG